UACGGGGGGAGCAAGCGUUGUUCGGAUUUACUGGGCGUAAAGGGCGGGUAGGCGGCCACCGCAAGUCAGUUGUGAAAUCUCUGGGCUUAACCCAGAAAGGUCAACUGAUACUGCGGGGCUAGAGUGCAGAAGGGGCAACUGGAAUUCUCGGUGUAGCGGUGAAAUGCGUAGAUAUCAGGAGGAACACCGGUGGCGAAGGCGGCUUGCUGGGCCAGUUCUGACGCUGAGGAGCGAAAGCGUGGGGAGCGAACAGG
rnacentral:rRNA from 1 species